GGGGUGCCCGUUCUGCAUCAUCCUCAGGAUGUGGUUGGAAGUCAAGAUAAACAGAUGGCAAUCAUUUUGUGUAAUUCAAACUCUGCUGAAAAAAGUUUCCAUUGGACCUCGCGCUGAUCAUCCUGUCGCCACGAUGCUUCGUCUCUACAAGCUUGUGCUUCUUUAUCUUCUGGCAUGCCAAGAUCAAAACGUACUUGGACGUAAAAUAAAAAAUGGGGGAAAAGCUGGUGAAAUGUUGAUGACAUAUGUGGCGUCAGUGCAGAGCAAUGAUAAACACGUAUGUGGAGGAUUUGCUGUCAGCAAUGAAUUUGUUGUCACCCAUGGAAAGUGUACUUUUGAUAAAGACAAGGCAAUGGUUGCUCUCGGCACCCAUUUCCUGGACAGGCCUCUCCAUAAAAUAACAAAACACAUUGAGAGCACAUGCAAUCCCC